rnacentral:rRNA from 1 species
AAGGGAAAGAUGAAAGAACUAUAUCAAGCACUAAAAAGCAAGGACAAGCCCUUAUACUUUCUGCAUAAUGUAUUAACUAGAAAUACUUUACACAGAAAACUAUAGCCAAGUCCCCCAAAACCAGAUGAGCUACACAAGAAUAGCUGAAAGAGCACACUCACCUACAUGGCAAAAUAGUGGGAAGAUUCAUGAGUAGUGGUGACAAGUCUACCAAGCCUGGUGAUAGCUGGUUGUCCAAGAUAGAAUCUUAGUUCAACUUUAAACUUACCCACAGAAUUACUUAAUUUCCCAGUAAGUUUAACUGUCAGUCUAAAGAGGGACAGCUCUUUAGACCCUAGGAAGCAACCUUCCUACAGAGAGUAAAAAAUAUUACCACCAUAGUUGGCCCAAAAGCAACCACCAGUUAAGAAAGCAUUUAAGCUCAACAUCUAACUAUCUUAAAUUCUAAUCACUCUACUGUACUCCUAACAUCACAUUGGACUAAUCUAUUACUUAAUAGAAGCAAUAAUGUUAAUAUAAGUAACAUGAAGACAUUCUCCAUUGCAUAAGCUUACAUCAGACCAGAAUAACCCACUGGCAGUUAACAGCCUAAUAUUAAUAAACGAUAUAAUAAGUACCCUAUUAUUUACACUGUUAACUCAACAAAGGCAUGCUCUAAGGAAAGUUUACAACAAGUAAAAGGAACUCAGCAAAUCUUACCCUGCCUGUUUACCAAAAACAUCACCUCUAGCAUUACCAGUAUUAGAGGCACUGCCUGCCCAGUGACAUAUGUUCAACUGCCACGGUAUCCUGACCAUGCAAAGGUAGCAUAAUCACUUGUUCCCUAAAUAGGGACUUGUACGAAUUGCUACACGAGGGUUCAGCUGUCUCUUACUUUUAAUCAGUGAAAUUGACCUAUCAGUGAAGAGGUGGAUAUAAAAAAAAUAAGACGAGAAGACCCUAUGGAGCUUUAAUUCAUUAAUACAAAUAAAAACUCAAACAAGCCAACAGGCCCUAGCCUACUAUCCCUGCAUUAAAAAUGUUGUUUGGGGUGACCCCGGAGCAUAAUUCAACCUCUGAACGAUGUAAACUAAGACCGCACUAGUCUAAGCGAGUUAACAUACGUUGACUCAAUUAAUUUGAUGAGCGGAAUAAGUUAUCCUAGGGAUAACAGCACAAUCCUAUUCUACAGUCCAUGUCAACAAUAGUGUUUAUGACCUCAAUGUUGGAUCAGGACAUCCUAAUGGUGCAGCUGCUAUUAAGGGUUUGUUUCUUCAGUGAUUAAAGUCCUACCUGAUCUGAGGUCAGACUGGAGUAAUCCAGGUUGGUUUCUAACUAUUUAACAUUUCUCCUAG